GGGCUUUCCUGGCGCGUGUUGUAUGAUCUGGUUACGUCCUUGGACCCUACAGACACAAAGGGAAGCUGGUUUGAAAAAACUGUUGAGUUGGCAUGCUCCCUCCGUCGUCUAGAUAUUUGGGCUGAGAAAAUAAUUUCAAGCAAGGCUGGGAAACACAAAAGUAAAUAGUAUGAAAUGAUGUCAGCAAAAAAUGGGAAAAAAGUAGGGAACUCAAAAAUGAAUAAGCUGGCAAAACUGUCAGGAGCACCUUUUUUGGAAACUCUGAAACUGAUAAAAAAA
rnacentral:lncRNA from 1 species